rnacentral:rRNA from 1 species
UACGGAGGGUGCGAGCGUUGUCCGGAAUCAUUGGGCGUAAAGGGCGCGUAGGUGGCCCGGUCAGUCCGUGGUGAAAGCGCGGGGCUCAACCCCGCGUCGGCCAUGGAUACUGCUGGGCUGGAGCACUGUAGAGGCAGGCGGAAUUCCUGGUGUAGCGGUGAAAUGCGCAGAUAUCAGGAGGAACACCGGUGGCGAAGGCGGGUCUCUGGGCCGAUACUGACGCUGAGGAGCGAAAGCGUGGGGAGCGAACAGG